rnacentral:sRNA from 1 species
GAGGAAAAGCAACACUUUCUGCAAGGGGAGGACAUAAGAAAAGUGUAGGGAGAAAAGCAAGGCCCAGGAAAAUGUUUGAGAGAAGACAUUUCUUCAAAAUAAUAAUGUAAGAUGUUAAAAAUUAGAGUUUGUUUAAUUAAAUUAAUACUGAGUUGCUUUGAUUAUAUUAGGCUCUUUAUUAUUUCAUUUUUAUCCUGAAGUGUUGGAGAUGGUUAAAUAAAUACCAAGGUACAGAGAACUACAACUUAGUACAGAAAGCAAAGUAACAGAAUUUCUCCAUCAAAGUAAAUUAAAAUCUUUUGAAAGUGAGCGUGUU